AGUCGAGCGAACAGAUAAGGAGCUUGCUCCUUUGACGUUAGCGGCGGACGGGUGAGUAACACGUGGGUAACCUACCUAUAAGACUGGGAUAACUUCGGGAAACCGGAGCUAAUACCGGAUAACAUUUGGAACCGCAUGGUUCUAAAGUGAAAGAUGGUUUUGCUAUCACUUAUAGAUGGACCCGCGCCGUAUUAGCUAGUUGGUAAGGUAACGGCUUACCAAGGCGACGAUACGUAGCCGACCUGAGAGGGUGAUCGGCCACACUGGAACUGAGACACGGUCCAGACUCCUACGGGAGGCAGCAGUAGGGAAUCUUCCGCAAUGGGCGAAAGCCUGACGGAGCAACGCCGCGUGAGUGAUGAAGGGUUUCGGCUCGUAAAACUCUGUUAUUAGGGAAGAACAAAUGUGUAAGUAACUGUGCACAUCUUGACGGUACCUAAUCAGAAAGCCACGGCUAACUACGUGCCAGCAGCCGCGGUAAUACGUAGGUGGCAAGCGUUAUCCGGAAUUAUUGGGCGUAAAGCGCGCGUAGGCGGUUUCUUAAGUCUGAUGUGAAAGCCCACGGCUCAACCGUGGAGGGUCAUUGGAAACUGGGAAACUUGAGUGCAGAAGAGGAAAGUGGAAUUCCAUGUGUAGCGGUGAAAUGCGCAGAGAUAUGGAGGAACACCAGUGGCGAAGGCGACUUUCUGGUCUGUAACUGACGCUGAUGUGCGAAAGCGUGGGGAUCAAACAGGAUUAGAUACCCUGGUAGUCCACGCCGUAAACGAUGAGUGCUAAGUGUUAGGGGGUUUCCGCCCCUUAGUGCUGCAGCUAACGCAUUAAGCACUCCGCCUGGGGAGUACGACCGCAAGGUUGAAACUCAAAGGAAUUGACGGGGACCCGCACAAGCGGUGGAGCAUGUGGUUUAAUUCGAAGCAACGCGAAGAACCUUACCAAAUCUUGACAUCCUUUGAAAACUCUAGAGAUAGAGCCUUCCCCUUCGGGGGACAAAGUGACAGGUGGUGCAUGGUUGUCGUCAGCUCGUGUCGUGAGAUGUUGGGUUAAGUCCCGCAACGAGCGCAACCCUUAAGCUUAGUUGCCAUCAUUAAGUUGGGCACUCUAGGUUGACUGCCGGUGACAAACCGGAGGAAGGUGGGGAUGACGUCAAAUCAUCAUGCCCCUUAUGAUUUGGGCUACACACGUGCUACAAUGGACAAUACAAAGGGCAGCUAAACCGCGAGGUCAUGCAAAUCCCAUAAAGUUGUUCUCAGUUCGGAUUGUAGUCUGCAACUCGACUACAUGAAGCUGGAAUCGCUAGUAAUCGUAGAUCAGCAUGCUACGGUGAAUACGUUCCCGGGUCUUGUACACACCGCCCGUCACACCACGAGAGUUUGUAACACCCGAAGCCGGUGGAGUAACCAUUUAUGGAGCUAGCC
rnacentral:rRNA from 1 species